AUCAUAUAGCUGAGCCAACCUGCUGUACUUUAAAACACUUGACCACAAUUCUCCAGUGGAUACUCAACCCUGGCUUCAAACUCCCUUGUCUCUCCGCUCCUGUACUAGGGAUGAGGGAGCAGAAGGCAAGCUUAGGACAAAGCAGAAACUGGCACCCUACACCCUCUCCCCAUGCCAUAUGUGUAACAUUCCUCAUGCACUCCUGGCUGCCCUAAAGGAAAAACGAUGCUUAACUGAUAGAGAUCCCAGUCCUGCAGGACAGGAGUAUCCCUCCAUCUACGAAUGUCCUGGUGACUUACAAGGAAGGAAGAAGCUUUCUCAUCAAUAGCCUGACUUCCAGACACCCAUACCUCAGUUUCCGGAAGCCCUAACAUCACCCUCCCCUCCAUAAAAUUGAGGGAGGCUAAGGGGGAGGGAAGUGUAAUAAAACUGAAUUUCUUCUAAGCCCAAAGCCCACUGACAAGGAUGUGUGAUAGGAGGAAUGUAACAUAUCUCCAGGAAACUCCCGACUGUCUUCAUGCUUU